rnacentral:tRNA from 1 species
GGCUUGUGGCUCAGUGGUAAAGCCCUUGCCUAGCACAUGUGAGGUACUGAGUUCAGUCCUCAGCACCA